GUCUACGGCCAUACUACCUGAACACACCCGAUCUCAUCUGAUCUCGGAAGCUAAGCAGGGUCGGGCCUGGUUAGUACUUGGAUGGGAGAAAAAAAUUCAUCUCUCAAUU
ensembl:rRNA 5S_rRNA 5S ribosomal RNA